rnacentral:rRNA from 1 species
CCUACGGGAGGCAGCAGUCGAGAAUCAUUCACAAUGGGGGAAACCCUGAUGGGGCGACGCCGCGUGGGGGAAGGAAGGUCUCCGGAUUGUAAACCCCUGUCAUGUGGGAGCAAAUUAAAAAGAUAGUACCACAAGAGGAAGAGACGGCUAACUCUGUGCCAACAGCCGCGGUAAUACUGAGGGCUCAAGCGUUGUUCGGAACCACGGGGCAUAAAGCGUGCGUAGGCAGUUUCGUAAGUCGUGUGUGAAAGGCGCGGGCUCAACCCGGGGACGGCAUAUGAUACUGCGAGACUAGAGUAAUGGAGUGGUAACCGGAAUUCUCGGUGUAGCGGUGAAAUGCGUAGAUAUCGAGAGGAACACUCGUGGCGAAGGCGGGUUCCUGGACAUUAACUGACGCUGAGGCACGAAGGCCUGGGGAGCGAAAGGGAUUAGAUACCCUUGUAGUC